rnacentral:tRNA from 1 species
GCACUCGUCGUUUAAUGGAUAGGACACUAGCUUGCGGAGCUGGUAAUCGUGGUUCGAUUCCACGCGAGUGCA